CGAAUCGCUGCGUGCUACACAUGCAGUCGAACGGUGAAGCCCAGCUUGCUGGGUGGAUCAGUGGCGAACGGGUGAGUAACACGUGAGCAAUCUGCCCCUGACUCUGGGAUAAGCGCUGGAAACGGCGUCUAAUACUGGAUAUGAGCUGCGAUCGCAUGGUCAGUAGCUGGAAAGAUUUUUUGGUCAGGGAUGAGCUCGCGGCCUAUCAGCUUGUUGGUGAGGUAAUGGCUCACCAAGGCGUCGACGGGUAGCCGGCCUGAGAGGGUGACCGGCCACACUGGGACUGAGACACGGCCCAGACUCCUACGGGAGGCAGCAGUGGGGAAUAUUGCACAAUGGGCGCAAGCCUGAUGCAGCAACGCCGCGUGAGGGAUGACGGCCUUCGGGUUGUAAACCUCUUUUAGCAGGGAAGAAGCGAAAGUGACGGUACCUGCAGAAAAAGCGCCGGCUAACUACGUGCCAGCAGCCGCGGUAAUACGUAGGGCGCAAGCGUUAUCCGGAAUUAUUGGGCGUAAAGAGCUCGUAGGCGGUUUGUCGCGUCUGCUGUGAAAUCCCGAGGCUCAACCUCGGGUCUGCAGUGGGUACGGGCAGACUAGAGUGCGGUAGGGGAGAUUGGAAUUCCUGGUGUAGCGGUGGA
rnacentral:rRNA from 1 species